AAAAAAAAGUAAUUUGACUGUAGUAAUUGGCACGAUGGUUGGAGUCAUUUUAUUUAUAUUUUUUAUAUUUUUUAUAAUUUUGGUGCUCU
rnacentral:ribozyme from 1 species